AGACCUCUUGAACCUUGACAAUUAUUUUUGAAACAAGCCUCCCAAGCCAAGAAAAUGACCUACUACUACUAUGGCAGAAGAAGCAACUCAAUCUUUGAUGCUUUCACACUCAAUCCUCUGCCAUACCCAGUUCUUCUAAUCUUAGCAGUCAUAUCAAUCUUUCUUGGCAUAUCAUGGUACUUCAGCUAUGAAGAAAUUGCAGAGACUGCAGAGAUGCAAAUGAAUUGGUUGCUUUUGGCCACACCUUUAGCGUUGCUCCUUCUCGUCCGUUGGUUGUCAUCUAUGGAAAAUCCUGACAUGUUAUUUGCUAAAACACCGUGGGGCUGGAAACGGCGGACCUACCACCGUCCAUCGGAGGGAAGCUCGCCGUGGGGUGUGGCUGCUUUGAUUGUGUUGCUGCUUGUUUUGGUGCAAUUCCAGUCUGCUUUUCUUGAUAGCUGGUUUUAACACUAUAUAUGCUCAAGAUACUGCCGAUAUCUGAUUUCAAGAACUUGGAUUUUGGGUUUUGUGUUCAUAAGAUAGACAAAUUAAACAUAGAGUUAUAAGUGACUGGUUAUAUAGCAGAGGAUAUAGAGAGUUGGUUUUGGUGGUUGUUGCAUAUAUAUAUAAUAGAGGAUGAUGCAUUAAGUUGUAUGAUUAAUCGGGGUUUGCUGCCUUGUUUGAUAUAGUUCUGUGAGAUCUUAACGAAGGUACCUUUAAUUUGUAUUUGGCUAUGUCUAAUUUUUCAUAGUUCUUGUUGGGAUGAGUUUCAAAUUUUUUCUUUCCUGGUUACAAACUUUACCUCCUGUUUGGAUGCAGAGAAAAUUGUGGUAAUGUGAAGGAAUCAUGUGGCUAUGUUUUUAGUCCAAGAUUAGUAUUCCUUGUCUUCUUUUCUUGGAUCAUAUAAGUUUAGGAUUCACACAAUUCUGUAAUUUAUUUUCUUGUGUUGUAUAUCUUGUAAUGAUCAAUAAUAGAACCUUGAAAAAUAAUUAAUUAAACGCAAAGAAAUAGUGAA
rnacentral:misc_RNA from 1 species